ACUUGAACAAAGCCAACAGGAGUAGUUUAGUGAGCUGAAAAGUGUCAUUAAAUCAACCGAUCUGCUGGACAGUGAAUACCAAUAGUACCGUCCAUAAACAGACUACCAUAAUAGUGAAAACGGAAUAAAAAAUUACAGCAAAACCAUGAAUACACAUCACACAACGACUACUGUUGUGAUGGCCAAUCCAACACCCCCUGUGGUCAUUCAACAAGUGAAAAAAGAAAGAUUUGCUGACAAAAUUGCAUUAAACCUCCUCAUCACCCUUUUCUUUCCCUUCUGGAUAUUUGUUUGGUGUUGUAUGUGUAUUUGUGAGAAACAGCAAUGACGUCCUUCCUUGACGAAGAUGCCACCUGCGACUAACAUUUAUUAUUAUACGUUGAUCCUGUUCACAAACCAGUUCCGUUAUUAAUUAGACGUUUUCCUUUGACCUUCAUGAUGCCCUUAUCAUUUUGGCAAUAUUCAUACGACUUUAUCUGAGUUAAAGAGUGUUUGACUGUUAACUUUUUCGAGAUAUUGUUGUCCAAAAAUCAUGAUGUACAUUUUCAGGAUAUAUCUUUUUGACUGUGUCUUAUGGAAUCACAUUUCUGAUUUGAAGUGUUAAUAAAAAUAACAAGACUAA